rnacentral:sRNA from 10 species
GCUGGGCAUGAUGGCUCAUGCCUGUAAUCCUAGCACUUUGGGAGGCUGAGGUGCGUGGAUCACCUGAGGUCAGGAGUUCGAGAUCAGCCUGGCCAACAUGGUCUCUACUAAAAAUACAAAAAUUAGCUGGGCUUGGUGGCAGACGCCAGUAAUCCCAGCUACUGUGGAGGCUGAGGCAGGAGAAUUGCUUGAACCCAGGAGGUGGAAGUUGCAGUGAGCCGAGAUCAUGACACAGCACUCCAGCCUGGGCAACAGAGUGAGACUCUGUCUCA